AAUCUCUUCUUCCUCAUCUACAUCCUUUUUUCUGAGUGUUUCUCCAUACUACUGGAGACGAUUCAGUGAAGGCUACUAAAUAAAUAAAAACUUCAGUGGCUAACUGCAUUUUGAACAUGAUCAUGUUUCCCUCCUAUCUCUCUGUAAAAUAUCCCCUUACUCAUGCCGCUUUGCCCAUCACCUGUAAUGCAUUUUUCUCAUCCUCUCUUUCCUGCUGAGAUUGCUCUCAUGUUGACAGAAAUUAACUCCUUGUCUUCAAGGUCCUUUCUUCUACCUGAUCAAUAAUGGUCAUAGUUAUCUGCACUGUAUCAUUUCAGCUAAUGGCAAGGCAGUGGCUUGUGUUUAUUUUUAUCUCUUUAAAAUCUUAAAACAGUGGUGUCUAAUAAAUUUACUACAUAAUAGUGUAGCUAUUCUGUGCAUUCAGGUUACGUGUAUUACUGUUUAUGUAUGACUACUGUAUAAUGUGUAUAAACUCUGUGGUUUUAUGGACAAAGCCCUGCCAGCUUACGUCAAGGUAGCAGGCAUUGUGUAUGUACCGUGCCAUCUCUACUUGGAGAAGAAAUCUGGGAGACUGUUAUCUGGAGGAAGGGGAGUCUACUUAGUACAUGGUAAUUUUCCAUUUCUAUUGUACUAUUUGGUGCAUAUUUUGGCAAUUCCUUCUCAUUUUUUGGUGCUGCUAGUCAGUGCAUUACAUUUGUUUUCCUAGUGUCAUGACUUCAGACCUGGAGGUGUAACCCACGUUGGUGCCAGCUGUCAUCACUCCAGCAACAAAAACUUUCCUUCUUAAAUGGGAACUAAUUUUGAGAAGCAUUGCCUGGACUGGUCUGAACUUCAAGUAACAAGACGUGGCAGCUUCAUCAUGGAAAAGGGAGAAAAAAAAAAAAGAAAGAAAACAACAACAACAACAAAUCUUUGCCUGUGAUUAAAGUGCUUCUGGAUUAGGACACUCCAGUUUCCUGAUAAUCUCAAAACUUUGAUUGAGCUGCGUGAAGACAUCAACCACAGAACAAGAAAAAAGGGCAUGAUCUGAUGUUUGCUGAAACUAGAGAAAGAAGACAUUCAAUGCUCCAUGAAGAAACUCCAUUGAGACAUCCUCAUUUUCAUCCAGCCACUGAAUGACAAAUGGUUCAAACCACCUGAAUAUUAAAAACAAUCUUGUAAAGUACAUUCCAUAAAGAUCCUGAGAGAAGAGGUGCCACCCCACCCAGCAGUUUGGCACUUUAUGCCUCCAUAUUUGUUCUAGUUGCCAAAAAGUCUUUUAAUCCUAGAAAAAAAAUGUCACCAAAGGUACUGUUGCUACCAAAAUGUCUUUCAGGCUUCAUCUCCACACUAUUCUAAAUGGUCUACCCCAAUGAUGUAGAAUUUGCAGUUGCCAUCAGACAGAUGCACCCAUAUUUUGCAGGGGAUCAUAUUCAUAUUUAUUUUAAAAUGUCUCUUUUUUCAGUAUUGCUUCUUUUUAAACUUUUUUUAUUGUUGUUAUUUGCAUGUGAAAUAAUGUGGAGAAAGGUUUUCUUUAAUAAAAUGUCAGCUGUUCAAUUCUUAUUCAAUUUACUUAGAUUUUUUUGAAGCAGUGAAAGCUGCCCAAUCCUUUUGGCAAACCAGAAAACUUGCUGAAGAUUAAAGACUGUAAAUAAAUAUUGCUCAUACAAAAGUGGACGGUUGAAUAUAUUAAUUUCAGAAGGAAAGGUGAAAAUGAAAACAGCAGAUAAAUAUUAAUCAAUUGCAGUGACAAUAAUCUCAGUAAUGUAUCCCAUUAGUUUUGUAUCUUGAUCCAGAUUUGUGUAUGAAAUGAAUGCAGGGGUCAAGAACUAAUAUUGCUGCUGUUCUCACAUUUUCCUCCUUACUCAGGAAGUAAGUAGUUCAUUUCCUUACUCAGGAAACUUAACUAUUAACAGUUUUAAGAAUUAAUUUUACAGAAUGAAGAAUUAAAAAGGAUGAAGUGAAAAAAAGUAUAUUUAAAAUUAUUAGUGCUACACCUUUUGAUAUCUUGCACAAACUUGAGCAUAAAUUUUUGAAGAAAAUAAAUUGCACCAAGCCCAAACUCAUGGGAUACUUCCCUACACACUACUUACAGAGAGUAUUCAGGCAC